GAUGAACGCUGGCGGCGUGCCUAAUACAUGCAAGUCGAGCGAAUGAUGAGGAGCUUGCUCCUCUGAUUUAGCGGCGGACGGGUGAGUAACACGUGGGUAACCUGCCUGUAAGAUGGGGAUAACUCCGGGAAACCGGGGCUAAUACCGAAUAAUAAAAGAGGAAGCAUUUCUUCUUUUUGAAAGUUGGUUUCGGCUAACACUUACAGAUGGGCCCGCGGCGCAUUAGCUAGUUGGUGAGGUAACGGCUCACCAAGGCGACGAUGCGUAGCCGACCUGAGAGGGUGAUCGGCCACACUGGGACUGAGACACGGCCCAGACGCCUACGGGAGGCAGCAGUAGGGAAUCUUCGGCAAUGGGCGAAAGCCUGACCGAGCAACGCCGCGUGAGCGAGGAAGGCCUUCGGGUCGUAAAGCUCUGUUGUCAGGGAAGAACAAGUACGAGAGUAACUGCUCGUACCUUGACGGUACCUGACCAGAAAGCCACGGCUAACCACGUGCCAGCCGCCGCGGUAACAC
rnacentral:rRNA from 1 species